rnacentral:ncRNA from 1 species
AAAAGUGGAGACCAGAACCCACUCUAAAAACGGGGCGAAACCGAAAAGCCAAAUGAGUAGGAUAUA